rnacentral:rRNA from 1 species
AGUGAACGCUGGCGGUAGGCCUAACACAUGCAAGUCGAACGGCAGCACAGUAAGAGCUUGCUCUUACGGGUGGCGAGUGGCGGACGGGUGAGGAAUACAUCGGAAUCUACUUUUUCGUGGGGGAUAACGUAGGGAAACCUACGCUAAUACCGCAUACGACCUACGGGUGAAAGCAGGGGAUCUUCGGACCUUGCGCGAUUGAAUGAGCCGAUGUCGGAUUAGCUAGUUGGCGGGGUAAAGGCCCACCAAGGCGACGAUCCGUAGCUGGUCUGAGAGGAUGAUCAGCCACACUGGAACUGAGACACGGUCCAGACUCCUACGGGAGGCAGCAGUGGGGAAUAUUGGACAAUGGGCGCAAGCCUGAUCCAGCCAUACCGCGUGGGUGAAGAAGGCCUUCGGGUUGUAAAGCCCUUUUGUUGGGAAAGAAAAGCAGCAGGUUAAUACGCCGCUGUUCUGACGGUACCCAAAGAAUAAGCACCGGCUAACUUCGUG